rnacentral:rRNA from 1 species
UGGGGAAUAUUGCACAAUGGGCGCAAGCCUGAUGCAGCCAUGCCGCGUGUAUGAAGAAGGCCUUCGGUUUGUAAAGUACUUUCAGUCGGGAGGAAGGUGGUAAGGUUAAUAACCUUAUCAAUUGACGUUACCGACAGAAGAAGCACCGGCUAACUCCGUGCCAGCAGCCGCGGUAAUACGGAGGGUGCAAGCGUUAAUCGGAAUUACUGGGCGUAAAGCGCACGCAGGCGGUUGAUUGAGUCAGAUGUGAAAUCCCCGGGCUUAACCCGGGAAUUGCAUCUGAUACUGGUCAGCUAGAGUCUUGUAGAGGGGGGUAGAAUUCCAUGUGUAGCGGUGAAAUGCGUAGAGAUGUGGAGGAAUACCGGUGGCGAAGGCGGCCCCCUGGACAAAGACUGACGCUCAGGUGCGAAAGCGUGGGGAGCAAACAGG